CGCACUCUCCUUCACUAAAUCUAGAGUCAUUCAACAGUCUAUGAGGGGGCGAGCCCUGCGCCGCCCCUUAGGGGCCUCAGUAGCGGGAGCAGACGACAUCGAGAAAGAGGUUAGUUUAAAUCGGACGAGUAACUUUUAUACCCAAUAAAUACGUCACAUAUUAAACCAUCGAUUACCGACAGUUGGUCUCCUGACAUAAUCUCCCCUUAAGGAGGGGGAUGAGAUUUGACUGACUAAUCACAUGUCGAUUUGGACCAGACGAGGAAUUUUUCUAACCAGUGAAAAAUAUGUCACAUAUUAAAUCAUCGGUUACCAACGGGUGGUCGGGUGGUCUUCUGACAUAAUCUCCACUUAAAAGUCCAUCCCUUUGAGAGGAUCAGUGGUGGAACUACUAAACUCAGUACUCAUUUGCCCGUGAGGACGAUUUGGCCAUAUUUCGAGAGCAUUGCCAUUUGUCAUGAUAAUCAGUCACUUAUCAAGACAUUUGGCCAUUUGUCAUGCUAUGAGCACUGCCUAUCAACUAACGGCUUGGAUCACUUCUGCCUAUAAAUACAAGGGUUAACAACUCAGGUCCAACCAGAGUUGAAAAUCCUAACGAGUCUUUGAAGAUUGAGUUGGGCACAAAACCGACGUUUGCAAGUCAAAAUGAUCCCCAUGGCUGACCGACUCCAGAGGGGUGUCAACAGUCCAUUAUCUCGACCAGGUCUCGGCUUAUACAGGCAAGGUAUGACUUCAUACGUGGAGCUUCUUCCAAAUUCCAAGGUCCAGUAAGGCGCCUAAUCAGCCACCGCCCCCACUUUUCGCUCAUUGUUUAUUGAUAUGACUUACGAUAUACGACGAAAGCAGUCAACAGCUCAGCGUGAAUUCUUGAACGCGCGCUGUCUUGACGAGGAAUCCUUGUGCUGUAUCUGUUCACGUAAAGUAGUAACUAGCUAGGUAAAUCCCCUUUUAUCAUUUGACCUUGUCAAAAUGCACGUGUGAAAUUUACUAAAGUUCCCCCCA